ACGAAAGGGACGAGGUGCCCCUGUCGGGCGGGCGCGCCCCCGCCCCGCUCCCGCUCCGCACGCCGCCCUUACCGCUCUGCCGGCUCCGUCCAUCUCCCAUUGCCGGUCACGGCGGAUCGCAACCGCCCUCCCGCGAGGCCGCGCCGGGCCGUGGCGCCCAGCCGGCCGCAGCGCCGGCGGCGGAGCCGGGCAGCGCGGCCGCGGGCGGCCCCAGCACGGUGGGCGCGGCGGGAGCACGCAGGCGGCGGGGCCGGGCCGGGCCGGGCCCGGCGGGGCGGGGCGGGGGCGGGCCGGGCCGGGGUUCGGGCGGCACGGGAGGGGGGGAAGGGGAAGCCGGCCGGGGGAGGUAGCGAAAGGGAAGAGGAACGAAAGGUACCACGUGCUCGUGAAAAAGAUUUAAAAGGAAAAAGAAUUUCGGGAUUACUGAAAGCAACGGAGUGUGAAACGCAAAACAGAAUACGUACCCAUAACGACGGCGUGUGCGAGAGGCACUUCCAAAAGCCCACGGGCGUCAGGACGUGCUGUUCUCCCCUGCGCUCCCAAUUCCCUGAAGUGCUCCCGCAGCCGCCAACAGAAAUACCCAGCUCCAGCCCAGGGGCUUUUCCACGCAGCCUGAUGCGAAGCGCAAAAGAGCACAGAUGUCUUCUGAGCAGCCCAUCUGAACCCUCGGUGCUGGCUUGUUUUUCACAGUUCACUGGAAGUUGUCUCAAAGCUUCAGGUUUCCGAACGCGCGGUUGUGUGCUGGGGCUUUCUAAAGAGAAACUACAACCCGUCCCUUCAGCGAGAGCUGGGUUUCCCCAUGGGAAGCUGCAUUAUAAAAUACCCCCAGAUGGCAUGAGCCUUGUGGCAGAAGCUAGGCGAGAGGCUGGCAGAGUGGAGGAAGCAGGAUGCUCAUUUCCUCACUUAACAUUUUGUUCAGUAACAGUUGAAAGCUUCCAUUUCUUUAGCCCAGCAGAACUGCUCUGGGCUUUCUGCUGGGCAUCUGCAGGAUUUGACAGAGGUGAUCUGGCAGUGAAAAUACAAUUGAAAGUUCUUUCCAACUCAGAGCCAGCACAUGUAGCUUUGCUAGGACAUGUUCAUGACCAGUGA
rnacentral:lncRNA from 1 species